rnacentral:rRNA from 1 species
AGUUCCGUAGGUGACCUGCGGAAGGAUCAUUA